rnacentral:tRNA from 1 species
UAUGAGAUGCCUGAUGAAGAGGAUAAUUUUGAUAGGAUUAAAAAUGUGCAAAAGCACUCUUAUAA